ensembl:miRNA gga-mir-1613 gga-mir-1613
UCAGACUGCUAGCUGGAAUGGACUGAUGUAGUGAAGAUGGUGAAAACUACAUGCGUAUAUUCUGGCAGAGAGUCUGA